rnacentral:rRNA from 1 species
GAGACAGCAGUAGCCGCGGUAAUACGGAGGGUGCAAGCGUUAAUCGGAAUUACUGGGCGUAAAGCGCACGCAGGCGGUCUGACAAGUCAGAUGUGAAAUCCCCGGGCUUAACCUGGGAACUGCAUUUGAAACUGUCAGGCUGGAGUCUUGUAGAGGGGGGUGGAAUUCCAGGUGUAGCGGUGAAAUGCGUAGAGAUCUGGAGGAAUACCGGUGGCGAAGGCGGCCCCCUGGACAAAGACUGACGCUCAGGUGCGAAAGCGUGGGGAGCAAACAGGAUUAGAUACCCGCGUAGUCCCUGUCUCUUAUAA